rnacentral:rRNA from 1 species
GAUGAACGCUGGCGGCGUGCUUAACACAUGCAAGUCGAACGAGAAGUGAAGACGGAAACCUUCGGGCGGAAGGCUUUAUUUCGAGUGGCGGACGGGUGAGUAACGCGUGGGUAACCUGCCUCAUACAGGGGGAUAACAGUUGGAAACGACUGUUAAUACCGCAUAAGACCACAGCACCGCAUGGUGCGGGGGUAAAAACUCCGGUGGUAUGAGAUGGACCCGCGUUCGAUUAGCCAGUUGGCGGGGUAACGGCCCACCAAAGCGACGAUCGAUAGCCGAGCUGAGAGGAGGACAGGCUACAACGGGAAUGAGACACGGACCAAACUCCUACGGGAAGCAGCAGUAGGGAAUAUUGCAGAAUGGGGGAAACCCUGAUGAAGCGACGCCGCGUGAGUGAAGAAGUAUUUCGGUAUGUAAAGCUCUAUCAGCAGGGAAGAAAAUGACGGUACCUGAGUAAGAAGCCCCGGCUAACUACGUG